ACGCUGGCGGCAGGCCUAACACAUGCAAGUCGAGCGGAAACGACACYAACRAUCCUUCGGRUGMGUUAAUGGGCGUCGAGCGGCGGACGGGUGAGUAAUGCCUAGGAAAUUGCCUUGAUGUGGGGGAUAACCAUUGGAAACGAUGGCUAAUACCGCAUAAUGCCUACGGGCCAAAGAGGGGGAYCUUCGGRCCUCUCGCGUCAAGAUAUGCCUAGGUGGGAUUAGCUAGUUGGUGAGGUAAUGGCUCACCAAGGCGACGAUCCCUAGCUGGUCUGAGAGGAUGAUCAGCCACACUGGAACUGAGACACGGUCCAGACUCCUACGGGAGGCAGCAGUGGGGAAUAUUGCACAAUGGGCGAAAGCCUGAUGCAGCCAUGCCGCGUGUAUGAAGAAGGCCUUCGGGUUGUAAAGUACUUUCAGUUGUGAGGAAGGGGGURWCGUUAAUAGCGUYAUMUCUUGACGUUAGCAACAGAAGAAGCACCGGCUAACUCCGUGCCAGCAGCCGCGGUAAUACGGAGGGUGCGAGCGUUAAUCGGAAUUACUGGGCGUAAAGCGCAUGCAGGUGGUUCAUUAAGUCAGAUGUGAAAGCCCGGGGCUCAACCUCGGAACUGCAUUUGAAACUGGUGAACUAGAGUGCUGUAGAGGGGGGUAGAAUUUCAGGUGUAGCGGUGAAAUGCGUAGAGAUCUGAAGGAAUACCAGUGGCGAAGGCGGCCCCCUGGACA
rnacentral:rRNA from 1 species